UACAGAGGUCUCAAGCGUUGUUCGGAUUCAUUGGGCGUAAAGAGCGCGCAGGCGGUCGUUCAAGUCGCGUGUGAAAGCCCCCGGCUCAACUGGGGAGGGUCACGCGAUACUGAUCGACUCGAAGGCAGGAGAGGGUAGUGGAAUUCCCGGUGUAGUGGUGAAAUGCGUAGAUAUCGGGAGGAACACCAGUGGCGAAGGCGACUACCUGGCCUGUUCUUGACGCUGAGGUGCGAAAGCUAGGGGAGCAAACGGG
rnacentral:rRNA from 1 species